GAUGAACGCUAGCGGGAGGCUUAACACAUGCAAGUCGAGGGGCAGCAUAGGGUAGCAAUACUCUGAUGGCGACCGGCAAACGGGUGAGUAACGCGUAUGCAACCUACCCUGUACAGGGGGAUAACCCGGAGAAAUUCGGACUAAUAUCCCGUAAUAAUAUCCGGAGGCAUCCUUGGAUAUUUAAAGUUCCGACGGUACGGGAUGGGCAUGCGUAACAUUAACUGGUUGGUAAGGUAACGGCUUACCAAGGCUAUGAUGUUUAGGGGUCCUGAGAGGGUGGUCCCCCACACUGGUACUGAGACACGGACCAGACUCCUACGGGAGGCAGCAGUGAGGAAUAUUGGUCAAUGGGCGCAAGCCUGAACCAGCCAUCCCGCGUGCAGGAAGACGGCCCUAUGGGUUGUAAACUGCUUUUCCAGGGAGAGAAACUUACGCACGUGUUGCGUGACUGACGGUACCCUGGGAAUAAGCAUCGGCUAACUCCGUG
rnacentral:rRNA from 1 species